UACAGGGGGGGCAAGCGUUGUUCGGAAUUACUGGGCGUAAAGGGCUCGUAGGUGGUCAACUAAGUCAGACGUGAAAUCCCCAGGCUCAACUUGGGAACUGCGUCUGAUACUGGAUGGCUUGAAUUCGGGAGAGGGAUGCAGAAUUCCAGGUGUAGCGGUGAAAUGCGUAGAUAUCUGGAGGAAUACCGGUGGCGAAGGCGGCAUCCUGGACCGAGAUUGACACUGAUGAGCGAAAGCUAGGGGAGCAAACGGG
rnacentral:rRNA from 1 species